rnacentral:lncRNA from 1 species
CGAAUGUCUGAUUGAAAUCAAUUUGAAAUGUACUUUAUAUUCAUUUGCACCCGUAAUAUUGAAAGCAUUAUUAUACACCCUUCACAAUCGUGGUUGUUGUGUGCUGUUGUGAUAUCACUAUAGUAGAACUUAGUGACGUCCUUGAGCAUUUUGGAUUUAGAUAAAUGUUAGCAACGUUUGCUUGACACUUUCAUCACCACACAGAUCAUCCAUACUGCUUACAACUUAAAGGUUUGUAAUAAAGUCAAUAAUUCUAUUACUUUUCAUUAAUUAUAAAUGUAUCGAUUUUGGCAAAAACAGUUAACAGCAAAUUUUAAAUGCUGAUAAGAGUUAACAGCAACUUUAAUUUACCCUUUUUUCCAAACGAACCCAAAAGCAAUGAAAAGGGGAAGAGCAUAUCUUCAAUGUAUUCAAAAGUUUGAAAACCACUGUACAAAGUCGCAGAAAUGCCAAGCUCCAUAAGGAAUCUUUUAUAAAGCUGACUAAUUUUCAGAAGACACACGCAAGUACACCAUAUUUUUUUAUUGACACAUGGACAGACAAUUGAACGGAUGGAAAAGCAGACGGAGUGAUUGACUCCAAAAAAAGGACUGUCAUGAAUAAUCGAAAAUGCUUCGGACGCCGUACAGACAAAAGUUGUUAUUUUGCAAUUCGCCGUACAACGUCCUGCAAUUCGCCGUACAACAAACACACAAUGUUUUUGUCCACAUUCUUUAAAAACAUGAUUUUGACAACAAAUUUCAGUAAAUAUGAUGCCACACUAUAAUAAUCUAAAAACGUGUCUGGAAAAAUAAUGAAAAACAGUUCAAUAUCUUGAGAAUUGGGCGACAGAGGACGAUCGACCUCGAAAUUUUCCGGUACUAAGUGGCAAGUUUUGGAGUAUUACACAAAAUGUUGUAUUAAUUUUGUACUUAUCGGCCUAAUAAUUUAAAGAAUUAUAUAUCAGAAAAUCAUUUCUUAAGCGGCACCCUCAUCAAAUGAAUGGAAAUGCUUUAAAUUGAAUGAAUUCUUAACUUGUUUACUUUUUUUUCUAUUUCUCUCCGCUUCGUUAGUACCCAAUUUCCGGUGGCGAUGAUACACAGUGAUAACGUUACAAAGAUAAUUACUGUCGAUGGAUCCUGGAAAAUAUUUUGGUUCCUGUAUUACAACGGUUAUGAAUUAUAUGACGUAGAUAUUAUAUAUUUAUCCCAAUGUAUUCAAUUUUUGACCGUAUAGAUGAUAGAACAACCGGUUGUAAUCUGGGUCUAACAGACUCCGUAUGGAAAUGAUUUUCGUCGUGUUACGUCGAUUUUCCCACGGUUUGCACGUUUUAAAUACGUUUUUCAGAAAAGUAAUACAAAUGUGUUUAAAACAUCUGAAAACUUUACUAUAUAGAAGUACAUAGAAAAUAAGGGCAAAAAGUGCAAAAAUUAAGGCAAAAUAAAUGAAAAAGAGAAAGAGAAAACAGACAAAUGAAUAGAGAAUAAUGAGUUUAAAUAAAUCAUAUUGAAUAGAAGAUGGAAAAACAGAUUAAGAAUAGAGUAAAUGAAGAAAAAAUAAGAAAUGAGGACAAAUUUUACAUAGUCAUACAUUAUCAUACACACUUAAUGUAAUAUAUGCAUGUGAAAAUUAUUUUUAAAAACGUAACAAACAAUGAAACGGGCUAUAUAAUUAUUUAUGAUAAAAAAAUAUACACCAAUUACUCGUUAUAUCGAUUUAAAAAUAACAUAGACUAGUGAUAUUUGUGUCAGAGUUCUAUACAUAUGCACAUUCUUGAUGGCUAUACAAUCUGUCGAUAUCCGUAUCUUGGCAUUGUACAAGGUUAUGUUUUCCUUUGACUGUUGAUUAUGUCUUUACACUAAAUCCAUUGGAUGCAUGUUUUUCAAAUAGUUGGUAUUGUCUUUAAACGAACUAUCAGUACAAAUGUAACUGUGAAUACUCUCAGAUCUGUACUUUGCGUCUUUUACGGCCAGUCUUGAGUUUUUGUUAGGUGUUUCAAUUUUGCAUCUGAUGAGUUAAGCCUUUUUAAACUGAUUUUUCUAGUUUGUUUCUGAUGUUGUACUGAUACACUACUUUCCUAUAUAAGGGGGAGGGUUUGGGGUCAGCGAACUAGUCUUACACUGCCACAUUCUUUAUGUACCUGUCCUUUGUCAGGAUUGCUGUUUGUUGUUGUAUAUUAUUUUUUGUUUAUUAUUUUGUACUUACACCCGGUUGCUAGUUAUAUCGUUUGAAUUGUUUUACAUUUCGGACCUGUAAUGCAGUAUUGGUUGUGAUCAAUGUUGAAGGCCAUAACUAUGCAGUAUUGGUUGUGAUCAAUGUUGAAGGCCAUAUAAUUGAUAACUUCUAUGGCAUCUCUUCUCUGAUGAAGAGCUGUCUCAUUAUUAAUCACACCACAUCUUCGUUCGUAGAUGCCAUAUGCAUAAUACGGAAUCCUUAAAUAUGUUUUUUACUGUAAAAUACUGUUUACUGCUGGGCUAUAUUUAUGUGAUCUUAUACUUUUCAGAUGGGGAAUGUCUGUUGUAGUGGAAAAGGAAAUGGAAUGGGACCAAUAAAUAAAUUCUGUAAAUGUGGUGGACCACGACCGAAAUCUGGACAUUCUAGGAAGGGAAGUGGACAUUCUAGGAAGGGAAGUGGUAAGGGACGAAGAUCACCUAAAGGGUCACCUAAAGGAAGACGAAGGAAGGGAUCACACAGUAGUUAAUGAAUAUUAUGGUGGGAACUCUUUAAACAGUAUUAUAUAGAUGUGAACUCUCAAAUAUAUGAUAAGACAAUUCUGUGUUUGUCAAUGUACUUUUUUUACAGUGGAUUAAUAUAGAAUGUAUUGAAAAAAUGAAAACAGUUUUCAAAUCUUUUUAAAGUAUUGAAUUUUGUUGUGCUUUGAGAGUAUUUCAAAAUAAGUAGAAUAUAUUUUCAUUGAUGGAGGAUG